rnacentral:rRNA from 1 species
AUGAACGCUAGCGGCAGGCUUAAUACAUGCAAGUCGAGGGGCAUCAAGGUACACGAAAGUGUAUUGUUGGCGACCGGCGGACGGGUGAGUAAUAGGUAGGUAACCUACCUCAUACUGAGGCAUAGCUGGGAGAAAUUCCAGGUAAUUCCUCAUGAGGUUAUAUGACACAUGUGAUAUAAUCAAAGGUAUCGCAAGGUACUGGUAUGAGAUGGGCUUACUGACCAUUAGCUAGUUGGUGAGAUAAGAGCUCACCAAGGCGAAGAUGGUUAGGGGUUUUGAGAGAGAGAUCCCCCACAUUGGAACUGAGAUACGGUCCAGACUCCUACGGGAGGCAGCAGUAGGGAAUAUUGGGCAAUGGGCGGAAGCCUGACCCAGCCAUGCCGCGUGAAGGAAGACGGCCUUCGGGUUGUAAAGCACUUUUGGCGGGAGCGAAACGGCGUUUGCUAAUACCAGACGCUAAUGACGGUACCCGCAGAAUAAGCACCGGCUAACUACGUG